rnacentral:rRNA from 1 species
GACGAACGCUGGCGGCGUGCUUAACACAUGCAAGUCGAACGAGAUCCAAUGUGUAGCAAUACACAGGAAGAUCUAGUGGCGAACGGGUGAGGAACACGUGAGAAACGUACCCCAGACUUUGGGAUAACAGUCCGAAAGGACUGCUAAUACCAAAUAACGUCGGAAGUCCGCAUGGACAUCUGACGAAAGGGAUUCCGGUUUGGGAGCGUCUUGCGGACCUAUCAGCUAGUUGGAGGGGUAACGGCCCACCAAGGCAACGACGGGUAGCUGGUCUGAGAGGAUGGUCAGCCACACUGGGACUGAGACACGGCCCAGACUCCUACGGGAGGCAGCAGUGGGGAAUCUUGCGCAAUGGGCGAAAGCCUGACGCAGCAACGCCGCGUGCGGGAAGAAGGCUUUCGGGCUGUAAACCGCUUUCAGUAGGAACGAAACUGACGGUACCUACAGAAGAAGGAGCGGCCAACUAUGUG